UCAACAAUGUGAAGCGUUCCAGAAUACUCUCGCGUGCUGAAGGGUGAGCCUGCCCACCCCACCCCAACCCCGCCCCACCAGAUAGGGGAAGGCGGGGACAAGAUCUAAAAGUCGAGGCCAUGGGAUAAAAACUAGAGCUCGAUGGUGUCUGAUGGUGUCUGUGCUGGUGGUGACCGCGGAUGAGCAACGGGGGCGGUAAACAGCCUUACCACUGAAGAGCUACUUGAACGUCUUCACGUCUCUGGGAUUGAGUUCCUGUCUCCCAAGUUGAGUCAACUGAGCUACAGAGGCCUGAAUAAAUUCCCAGAAACAUGCGUGUUGGGUGGGGUUCCCGAUGAGGGGCCCAUGUCUUAUAGCCCACGGAUUGUAGAAGGAUAAACCCGAACAGUCUAGAUAAAUGCUUCCUCUGGUGUCCAAUGUGCAACGCGACGACAUCAUGCCAGCCCCGUGGCUGUUUCUGCCACCACUACCGGACACACCGCCCCUGCAGGCUUCUGCAGUCUCAGGAGCCCAGCAGCCGCCACCUCCUGCUGCCCACCACAGCCCCAAAUGCUGCAGCCUGCCACCGGCUCUGUCAUUGAGAUGGGUCCCAUGCCCUCGCACAUGGUGCUGCAGCCUCCUGCCACACGGGCUUCUCCUGGCUGUCCCCCUGUGUCUGCUUCUUGGGCAGCUCCCCCCUCCACAUCGCCAUGGAUUGCAGGCUCCUUCAGCUUAGCCGUCUCCAUUGCAGAAUAUUAUUUUAAGGGGGGUUGCAUUUGUUUAUGCUCUGGAACAUCUUUUUUUUUUCCUUAAACAAUGUAGCUGUCUUGUU